AAAAUUCCCAAAUUCAUUCAGAAACACUAAUUUUCCCAAUUCACAAACCCUAACCCCUUACCCCCUUUCUCCCAAAACGCAGACACACACACACACACAGAGGAGAGGAGAGCGUUUGAGGGAGCUGAGAGGAAGAGAGGGGACUACACCACAUCGUCGUCCAGCCACCGUCCAUCCCGCCAUCACCGCGUCUCACUGCUGUCGCUGUGGAGACCGAACGCCUUCGAGUUUCCUGCUGCCACCUUGGAGCCCGUCGUCAUCAAGAGCGUCAGGAGAAAGAGAGAGGGACGAACUCGCGACGGAGAGGGAGGAGGUUGCGCCGCGCAGCCGUGGAGCCCGUCACACGUGUCACCACCGUCAGAAGCAGAACCACGAAGAGGAGAGGAAGAACGACGUUGGGAGGAAACUGUGAGCUGCAAGCCGCUGACCGAGAAGAAGCUCUGCCUUUGUCACCGUGUUGGAGUCGUCGCUGCCAACGCAGCGCACCGCCGUUAGCGCUGCCGUUGAAGGGAGCUCGCCGUCACAGUUCAAUCAUCAUUGAGCUUGAAGGGAGGCGCCACUGAAAUACCCGACAGUAGCUUCCCCUGCGUUCCCAAUUCCAUUCUUGAAACUUCGACCCCGUCGUUCAUGCCCCUUUGCUGCACCUGUUUCUCUACUGCUAUUAUUUGGAAUACCGGCGUUGAUGCUAUUAUGAAUCUGUUAGAAUUGCUAUUGGGCUGUGAUUGCUCUUAAUUUCCACCCAAUUUGAAUCCUUUGCUUGGUUACAACCCCGAUCACUGCUGUGAUGAUUAACAAUGCUGCUAUUCUGGUUAUUGCUUCUGCCGUUCCAGUUGCGUGAGAGUCACUGCUGUUGCCAUGAAACUAAAAGGGAAGGGAGUUGUUACGUUAAAGUAUGCGAUUGCGACAUCGAGUGACACAGGUUUGAAGAUGUGAUUUGAAGCUGCGAGCGAUUAGUAGGCUUCCUUUAUGGUUUUAAUUGCUUUCAUAGAGUCCCCUCGCUCUUUUCCUUUGAAGUUUUAUUUUAUCAGAGGGGUAGGUAUAUUGUAUUUGGGUUUAUAUGACUUCCUAUGUAUAAGAAUUACUAAUAAUAAUACCCCUGUGAUUGUUAUUACUAUUUGCAAUGUUUAUCCUUGAUACAUGUCUUUAAUGAAUAAAAACAAAAUUUUCUGGCAUU